AAAAUGCGUUUUUCCGAUUUUGGCCGAAAGUGCGGUUUUACCGGUUUGACCGAAAAGUGUGUUUUUAUGGAAAUAUGUGUUUUACGUUUUUUUGAGGAAAACGCAUUUUGCGGUUUUGGCGGGAAAUUGUGUUUUUCAGUUUUUGCGGGAAAAUGUAUUUUUCGGUUCUGCGGAAAAAUUUACUUGCAAAAAAUAGAAUUUACGGUUUGAAAAUAAUAUUUUGAUUUUAAAAGGUCAUUUUUGUCAUAUAUCAUUUUGGACUGAACUAGAUGCAUCUGCAUCCAGAUGCACCAUCAAGACUCACCUUCAUUUGGGUGAGAAUUUGAGAAGAGUUUUUAAAAAUUCAGUUGAGUGAUCCAUCUGGAUGUAGCACUAUAAUGCACAAAACGAACAUCGAUUUACAUCUUUACUCAGAUGGAUCAUCUGGGUGAGCAAACGAACAGGACCGUACUCUUGUGGAUAACUUAAAAAUUUUGAAUCUCUUUUUUAUUUUAUUUUUGAAAAUCAGGUCCCUUUUUAACACUAGUUAUGCAAAAAAAAUUUGGGACCUGGGUCCACGCCCUCCUUCCCCCUAUGCCUCAGCCGGCCCUGUUUUCUUUGAGCUGUUGUAGACUGUGUUGAAAUCUAUAUCUUUAAUUGUUAGGUUGUACAGAAAAUGGGUGAGUUUAAAGUGGUAUGGGAAAGGAAGACGAAUGAUUCUGUUGCUCUGCACGUCCUACUGGGCGAAGAUUCUGAUGAUGAUGAUGAUGAUGAUUCAUCCCGAGUCGAAGAAAAGGGAAAAGAGUUUCAAGAUGGAUCUCUUUAGAGGUGAAAGAACCAACUAUGUUCCUCGGCCAAAGUUGUGCGGUUCAAGGGAGAUUGGGUUUGUGUCAAACGGUUAUGGACUAGGAGACAGCAACUGGUCACCAUACAAGAGGGGAUCUCGGGAUGUGAAUUUAAUUUUCAUUGGAUAUAAGCGAAGAAGAUUUUGUUUUGCUUCUUCAGUGGAUGAGUUUGAUGUACCAAUUUUUGUUUCCACUGUCACGACUUUUACCAAAAAAAGCUGACCCAACUCUGAUGGAGAUCUUUAUUACGGGA